GGCAGCGUGGCUCAGUUGGUUAAAGCGCCUGUCUAGUAAACAGGAGAUCAUUUAUGCCCGAAUAUCGUCGGGGCCU